CUCUUGCGGUGAUGAAUUAUGAAUUCUUCACAUGUCAGACUUCAGAGAUUUUUCAAAAAAAUCUAUGAGAAGAAAAUUCAUUUUUCUGAGCAGAG